rnacentral:miRNA from 1 species
UUCAGUCCCUCAGGUUUGCCUGGGACUGAGGAGUUUUCCAGGAUGCAGGAAUUACAGAGCUAAAACAGGGAAAGUCUG